CGGGGAGUCGCACAGUCCGGUAGUGCACAAGCUUUGGGUGCUUGUCGUCGCGGGUUCAAAUCCCGCCUCCCCGACCA
rnacentral:tRNA from 3 species